rnacentral:rRNA from 1 species
GAUGAACGCUGGCGGCGUGCCUAAUACAUGCAAGUCGAGCGAACGGACGAGAAGCUUGCUUUUCUGAUGUUAGCGGCGGACGGGUGAGUAACACGUGGAUAACCUACCUAUAAGACUGGGAUAACUUCGGGAAACCGGAGCUAAUACCGGAUAAUAUUUUGAACCGCAUGGUUCAAAAGUGAAAGACGGUCUUGCUGUCACUUAUAGAUGGAUCCGCGCUGCAUUAGCUAGUUGGUAAGGUAACGGCUUACCAAGGCAACGAUGCAUAGCCGACCUGAGAGGGUGAUCGGCCACACUGGAACUGAGACACGGUCCAGACUCCUACGGGAGGCAGCAGUAGGGAAUCUUCCGCAGUGGGCGAAAGCCUGACGGAGCAACGCCCGUGAGUGAUGAAGGUCUUCGGAUCGUAAAACUCUGUUAUUAGGGAAGAACGUAUGUGUAAGUAACUGUGCACAUCUUGACGGUACCUAAUCAGAAAGCCACGGCUAACUACGUG